rnacentral:rRNA from 1 species
UACAGGGGGGGCAAGCGUUGUUCGGAAUUACUGGGCGUAAAGGGUCUGUAGGUGGCCAGCUAAGUCAGACGUGAAAUCCCUCAGCUUAACUGGGGAACUGCGUCUGAUACUGGAUGGCUUGAGUGUGGGAGAGGAAUGCGGAAUUCCAGGUGUAGCGGUGAAAUGCGUAGAUAUCUGGAGGAACACCGGUGGCGAAGGCGGCAUUCUGGACCAUAACUGACACUGAGAGACGAAAGCCAGGGGAGCAAACGGG